rnacentral:rRNA from 1 species
AGUGAACGCUGGCGGUAGGCCAAACACAUGCAAGUCGAACGGCAGCACAGUAAGAGCUUGCUCUUACGGGUGGCGAGUGGCGGACGGGUGAGGAAUACAUCGGAAUCUACUUUUUCGUGGGGGAUAACGUAGGGAAACUUACGCUAAUACCGCAUACGACCUACGGGUGAAAGCAGGGGAUCUUCGGACCUUGCGCGAUUGAAUGAGCCGAUGUCGGAUUAGCUAGUUGGCGGGGUAAAGGCCCACCAAGGCGACGAUCCGUAGCUGGUCUGAGAGGAUGAUCAGCCACACUGGAACUGAGGCACGGUCCAGACUCCUACGGGAGGCAGCAGUGGGGAAUAUUGGACAAUGGGCGCAAGCCUGAUCCAGCCAUACCGCGUGGGUGAAGAAGGCCUUCGGGUUGUAAAGCCCUUUUGUUGGGAAAGAAAAGCAGCAGGUUAAUACCCCGCUGUUCUGACGGUACCCAAAGAAUAAGCACCGGCUAACUUCGUG